CAGAGUUCAUGCCCUGACGGGUAGAUCUCCCACCCCAUGUUAUUAAACUGUGUUGCUUUGGCGAGCUGCCUUCCUAGGUACCGGCUUCGGCCGCGGAAUGCUCGCCAGAGGCCCCAAACUCUAAAGUAUAAUGUUGUCUGAGUACCAAAUAAUAUUUA
rnacentral:misc_RNA from 1 species